rnacentral:rRNA from 1 species
GUCUAUGGCCAUCCACCCUGAACAAGCCUGAUGUCUGAUCUCGGAAGCUAAGCAAGGUCUGAUAGUACUUGGAUGGGAGACCACCUGGGAAGACCAGGUGCUGUAGGCA